AUUCUGGUGCCAGCAGCCGUGGUAAUUCCAGUGCCAAUAGCGUAUAUUUAAGUUGUUGCAGUUAAAAAGCUCGUAGUUGGAUCUUGGGUCGUAAAGAUCGGUCCACCUACUCGGUGUGCACCUGCCCUUCUGUCCCUUUUGUCGGCGGCGUGCUCCUGGCCUUAAUUGGCUAGGUCGUGGCUCUGGCACUGUUACUUUGAAAAAAUUAGAGUGCUCAAAGCAAGCUUAUGCUCUGAAUACAUUAGCAUGGAAUAACGUGAUAGGAGUCUGGUCCUAUUGUGUUGGCCUUCAGGACCGGAGUAAUGAUUAAAUGGGACUGUCGUGGGCAUUCGUAUUUCAUUGUCAGAGGUGAAAUUCUUGGAUUUAUGAAAGACGGACCACUGCGAAAGCAUUUGCCAAGGAUGUUUUCAUUAAUCAAGAACGAAAGUCGGGGGCUCGAAGACGAUCAGAUACCGUCCUAGUCUCAACCAUAAACGAUGACGACCAAGGAUCGGCGGAUGUUGCUCUAAGGACUCCGCCAGCACCUUCUGAGAAAUCAGAGUGUUUGGGUUCCGGGGGGAGUAUGGUCGCAAGGCUGAAACUUAAAGGAAUUGAUGGAAGGGCACCACCAGGAGUGGAGCCUGCGGUUUAAUUUGACUCAACACGGGGAAACUUACCAGGUCCAGAUAUAGUAAGGAUUGACAGAUUGAGAGCUUUUUCUUGAUUCUAUGGGUGGUGGUGCAUGGCCAUUCUUAGUUGGUGGAGCGAUUUGUCUGGUUAAUUCCGAUAACGAACGAGACCUCAGCCUGCGAACUAGCUACGUGGAGGUUCCCCUUCGCAGCCAGCUUCUUAGAGGGACUAUGGCCGUUUAGGUCAUGGAAGUUUCAGGAAAUAAUAGGUCUAUGAUGCCCUUAGAUGUUCUGGGCCGCACGCGCACUACACUGAUGGAGCCAACGAGCUUUUCUUCCUGGUUCGAGAGGAUCGGGAAAUCUUCUCAAAUUGCAUCGUGAUGGGGAUAGAGCAUUGCAAUUAGUGGUCUUCAACGAAGAAUUCCUAGUAAGCGCGUGUCAUCAACUCGUGUUGACUACGUCCCUGCCCUUUGUACACACUGCUCGUCUCUCCUACCGAUUGAAUGAUCCGGUGAAGUGUUCGGAUUGCGUCGACGAUGGUGGUUCACCGCCAUCGACGUCGUGAGAAGUUCAUUGAACCUUAUCAUUUAGA
rnacentral:rRNA from 1 species